GGGGCGGCCCUGUCAUGGCGGAGCUGCGCCCCGUUCGGCGCCCGCCGUCCCAAGCUCACCUAACGGGGGCUGCGCCGUCUCGGCGCACCGAUGGACAAACACCGCACCUCGCGUAAACACACGGGCGGCAAGGGGGGAGCUCCCCGGGCUUCGCGGGGCGACCCCAAAGCAAUUCCCCUCUCAUCCCUACCUCCGUCACCAGAGCGAAGCCUUCCCCCUGUGGUCCUGCACAUCCAGCCUAUAGUUCAGCAAGCUAAACUCAUAGGCGUAUUUGCAGCCCUGUCUAUUUCACUAGAAGCAAGGUCCUCUUAGAAGAAAUACUCCUCAAACCGUAUUGAAAACCCUUGUUUACAUUAAAAAAUAAAUAAAUGGGAGAACCUAGGCUGCUUUGCUAACACCAUAUGUUUCUCUCCAGUCAUUGCAUCUCAGCCCAAAACUGAGUAGGCCCCCCUUGGGAGGCAGAGAGGAGGCUUCAGCAUCUCCGUUUAUUCGCCACUUAAGCCUCUCGGUCAACAGCGGGGCCAGCCAGAGCCAUCUGCUGCGAGGGACGCCGUGAAGAGCAAACACUCGUCCUGGGCCACCAGCUGCCACCUGAGCUCCGUCAAUUGCUCGGUGCCCAGACAGGUGGUGGCAAUACACACCACAAGCUCCUCCAGCACAACUAGAGCCUACAGCUACAAGGACUCUACACACAGAGCCGUAAGAGGGGAAGGCAAUUAAAUGAAAUGAAACCAACUUGUAGACACAUUUGGGCAGCUCAGAAGGUGCGUCUUUGCUGAUCUGCAAAAGUCAUGCCUAUAUCCCAAUCAUUUACGUGCAUUUUACAGUGAAGCCAUUUUAUUGCUGUUCCUUUUCUCCUUGACAGGGUGACAGUUCUGCUGUGACUGCCGGGCAGCGGUUUGCCUAACUAAUCCAGGCAGACUUACAGAUAGACAGUGAGAAAGGAAUGCCCGAGACUACAGCUACAUCUUGGAUCUUUCCCCUUCCACAGUGCAAAAGGGAUGUGAACAGAGCACUGUUUUAAGACUUCUCAGCCUCACUGAUCCCAGCUCACCUCCCCUCCAAGCCAGAGCUUGCAUUUGUUUUUGUAGCAUUUGUUUUUGUAUAAUAGCUCAGGUCAGACUGAGGAAGGAUCUAAGCUGCAACUGGGAGAGGGACCAAAAGACUACUUAUGAGACACAUUUCAGCUAUUUGGAUGUAAACUGUCUUGCUGCAGGACUAGCAAUACAAAUCUAGUUCACGGCCAAGUUAGUAGGAUUAUGCAAAGGCAAAUGCUCAGAUACAGUUCAGAUAAAUCCUUCUUGGAGAAGACAUUCGUCUAUUGCAUGCAGGGGGUGUAGAAUUAAAAGUCAGGCAGGGGAAGACAGCCCUGGACUGCUUCCGUCCAACAGCUCUGAAAGGAAAUCUUCUGUAUGACAUUCGUAUUUUGCUCUUCACCUCCUGCCUUCUUGCAGUUUUCCCUGCAUGCUACAUUUCUGCCUUAAGUUGUGCCUGGCAAACGUGGAAGCAAAGUCCUGUCACAUCGCAGUUCCCAUCUCUGGAGCACAGCUGCAGCCAGAACUACUAAGAUGGGGGACCUCUGAACAAAACCAGGGAGCUAUGUGCAAACCAAGUACACACAACAGCUGAAGAGAAUCAAACUGUUAAUUUUCCUCCUUUAUUUCUUAUAUCCCUGCUUCUUUCACUUAUCUAUGGUACCAUCUUCCUCAUUUCAGCACCAAAACCUCCUUCCCUGCUUCCGAUUUGACUGAAUAGUGCUAGGAAUUGUGUUCUGUUUCUAGAAGGGCACAGGAAGGCACCUCCCACCUCACUGUUCCCCUGGCUAUGGUGACCAAAGAGCAAACUGUCAGUAAGAGCUUGAACUGUCAGUGAAGAAGGCACUGAGGUCCUUAAGAAAAA